UAGUCCAUUUUUUAAAGACUGUAAUAACCCACUGGCAGCCAGCUCCUUCGAGCUAUCAUCGAUUUCCAACAACUAAAUCGCAUUCUGGCUUCCGUAAUUCAAAAUCCUUCUCACGCUCUUAUUGGUCGGAAUUAAAUGCUUUUAAUCAUUCCAGCUAUUCGCAGUUCACUGACUAAUCGAAAAGCACUAAAUGUAAGUAGUUAAAAUGAUAGAAGCCAGAAAGCAGUUUGAAAAUAAUCGAGGAGAAUUCACAGAAUACUGAAAAUCCUAGUAAUUGAAAAUUGUUGAGUAAAUCAUGGUCCAUAGAAAACACAUAGCAUAGACCCUAAAUGAUACAAGCCAAAAAGGCCAAAACCUUUGUUUAUUAAAAUAAUAUUUGUAAAUGGCAGCCGAAGAGUAGUCACGCUUUUCGACAGCUCCGGCUUUCUUGAGUAUUUUUAUCUUUUCAAAGGCGCUCAGAUUUAAAAAACUGCUGGCACCGAACAGAGAGUUUCCAAUAUUGUUGAAAAUGGCUUCUGGCGCAACUGAAAGUGUUUUACAAAAAAUAAGCGACACGCUGGAAAGAGUAGAGAAACGGGUGAGAGUGAUAGAGAACAGCGUUGCCUGCCUCGAAGAACUUAGACAAGACGUAAACAACAUGAAAAUCGAGUGUGAAAAAUUCAAAGAUGGCCUAACCGACCUUGAAACGGGGGUGGGCAGCAUAGAGGAGGAUGCCGCUGAAAUAACAGAAAGGUUAGAGACCGUAGCAACGAGAGAGACGACAGACCUCCUACUGAUCAGAGUUGAAGGUCUCGAGAACAGGUCGCGUAGAAAUAAUAUUAUCAUUCACAACGUUCCGGAAGAGGAGGAAAAAAUUCACCCUCAGCCAUUGAUUUCGUCCAGAAGUUCCUCAGGAACGAGCUAGAAAUACAGCAACCUAUCGAAGUCGAGCGUGCACAUAGGUCUCCCAACAAGAAACGCCAUGACGGAUCCGCAAGGCCGAUAUUCUUCCGACUUUUGCGAGAGAGUGAUAAGCGGAAUGUUCUAAUGGCAGGCGCUACAACACAGGGAAGGAGCUAAAAAAGAGGAACAAGAAAGAGCGAAUUUUCAUCACUGACGACGUGACGGAAGCGGUACAAAAACAACGAAAGCAAUUAUGGAAGCGCUUCCUUGAAUUAAAGGCUUCGAGACAAGCACCAAACAUGAGAGGCUACACGAUGUGGUCGGUUCCAGCAGCCGUCAAGUACCAGGUCACAGAUAAAGUUUGGAGCUCUAUACAUUUCACAACAGUUUUCAAUGCUGAGUUUAGUGCCCAGAGCAGCAAAGAUUUCAUCAAGGAGUGGAGCCGACCAACCAACACCCUAAAGAGUGUCAAGCAAAGUUAUCAGGAUGCAAACUUUAUUUGAGCUUUUAUUGCAAUCAUCUCAUAAGGCUUGACAGGCAAGGAAUUAUUGUACUUUAAAAUGCAUUUUUCAUACAUUUUCUAUCAUUUUUCUGUAUUUUACUAAUGUUUUGAUCAGUUGCUGCAUCUCUAAAGAGUUUUCCCAUUUUCACAAAUGUCUGCACUUUGAUGUAAAAAAAACCCAAAUGAUCCAUAUUACGAACCUGCAACAUAUCCAGGAAUUCCUCCCUUUGUGAUAUGACAGGAAAGUUCUGAGCAAUAAAUGUGAGACAGGAGUCCAUAAAUGCAGUGAGGACUAUGUGAACAGGCUCCGCCCACUUGAUAUGAGGAGUGUUGAACUUCAAGCGAUCUACUUUCUUUAGGUGAUCUAUACAAAUCAUUAUGGUCUAAAACAUAAAAAAAUUGACACCAAGUAGACCAUACAUCAAUCACAAAUGAAUAGAUAAUAAAUAUUAAUAAACAAUAAUUGCUACUAUUUACCAAGCUGCCUUGAAGUUCUGCAAGUAUUUCAUCUUGAAGCUGUUUGUUUAUAGCAGCAAAGCUCUUCAAUCCCAUGACUCGGUCAAAAUACUUAGUAAUCCACCUAGUGGAAACAUUUAUGAUUUGAUCAGCAGAAAUUAAAUUUAAUUAGCUUAUUUAAAGUACCAUUGUAUUUACCUUAUACAUGUUUGUUUUAAUUCAAUAAAGUUGAAAAUGUGAGCAAUC